CAGACACUUCAGUAUGAAUGGUGGAGCUAGAGCGGACAAGUUUGUUUCAGCAAUUAAGAAAGUUAGUGAGAGGUGAGAGAAAGAUGGAAAGCGCUCAAGUGCGUUGCUGUGUGUUAGAGGAUGACUUUUACACCGUACUGCAAAAGUCUGAAAGUGAAAGAAAAUGUGUCAGGUCAUAUUGGUGCAAAAGCGCGCCUCGCAAAUGUUGGCUGAAUUUAAAAAAGAAACAGAAGUGCAACGUUUGCGCCUGACCGCCAGUGAUGUGGGGUUCUCAUUGACUUUCUGAUGAAGAUGAGGAUGAGGAGAGACAAACUGGACUGUCCAUGAGGUCUGGGGUCAGCAUACUUACACACCUUUUAGGUCUAAGACGCAGGAUUGAGAAACAGUUUCACCACAGGACUAUCAGACUGGUUUCCACCACAUUCACCCAUCCUGACAAGCGGUGGGGAAACCACCCCAGCAAAGCUCAUCUGUUGAGAUGUUGCUGAGGCAGUUUGUGGUUAUGACCUCAUCAUCAUGAGAUGGAAAGGCUGGUGACUGCAGGCAGCUACAGAAGAGGUGGUGCUGUGUUGUGGUUUGCAGCUGCUGGUUCUUGGCAAAAUAAAUUGCACUGUGGAGAUGCCUCAGGGAAUUAUUUGCUCAAAGGUUGAAAGGAUGAACAAAAAAAGGAAUUCAAGAGGUAUUUGUGAUUCAGACUGUGUUUGUCUGUAGUUGUGACUUAGAUGUAUCUCAGAUCAAAUUUUAUGAGUAAUCGAUGGAGAAACUGUUUUGUAAAAAAUAUUUAUUUAUUUAUUUUUAAUCAGAAAUAUUAUUUUACAUCAGCGAUUAAGUUCCACAGUUUAAGGACUAACUGGUCUGGUUGAUUGGCACUGCUGAGUAACACUACUGUGUUUUAAAACCAUUAACAGGCUGCCAUUCAUGGGGUGAGUGGGCUUCAUGGCUAUUGUCACACAUUACAACCACAUAGUAAAAUUUUAAAAAGUUGUUAAUGCUGAGAACGUGUCAUUCAUCAGAAAUAUGCACACAUUUUACAUGACAGGAACUGUUUUUUCCCCACUUCUCCUGAAAUAAACUACAUCAGGAAAAAAAGGUUUUUACCCUAAAAUUCCCAUGUUUUAAGCAGGGUUUUGAAAUAUUUUCCACUAAUCCAUCCUGAGUCAUAGGUAUGACUUCAGCAAUGUUAGGAAACUUCUUUAGAUGGUGUUAAAGUGCUUAACAGGGAGCCUCCUUGUAGGAAUGUAAUGACUCGGCUUCUGUUUGGAGACACCCCAGACCUAAAGAGCUCCUCUUUUCUGUGUUUUAAGACAAAGACAUACUCAUCUCUUUUCUCCUUUUUAAACGUAUCCAUACUCUGGCAUUCAGAGGAAUUGGCAUUAACACGAGUGGAUAGAAACUAUGUGAAAAGCGAGUCAUGCCUAGAAAACCCUAGAAAAUGUUGAUAUACACUGGUUUAUUCCCUUGACUAUAUAAAGAUUGGUGUCUGACUAUUUUUUUUCUGCAUGUGUAACAUUUGUAACAUGUAACAUUUCCAUUCUACAACAUAAAGUGGGAAGACUACAUGUAGUUUUGCCCCUACAAUCUUGAAUUUCAAGGCCUGAUGUGGAUGCUCGUCUCACCUACUUUUUCCCUAUACUUGUUUUGCUCUAACGUUACCAUUAAUUAAUAAACUAAUUAUUCUAGUCUACGGAAUUGAUACAUUUGGUUGUUAAUUACUAAAAAAGGAGCAUACACUAUUUAUGUGGCCAAAUUAAUAAUCUAAAAGAAGCUUUCACAAAUCAACCCCGACUUGGUUUAGUUUGACCUCUGUUACAGUGAGGCAGUGAUAUUUGAGUGCUGAGCAAGGAAGCGGGUUCUCAUAGCCGUGUCUUUUUCCCCAUGUUGUUAAUGAUGGCAAAGAAUGUAAGAUUGUAAUAUAUGAAGUACCAAGGAAAUUUUGCUGUGAAAUAAGAAAAACUGCAUUUUAUUUUAUUUUUUUUAAGAGUCGUGGAGUUUUCAGGUAUCAUGUUUAGGAAACACUUCAGUGAAGUGUCACUUUUCAAAACAAGUGGGUGAUUGGUUGGUAAACUGAGGAGUUUAAUGUGGCAUGGACAUUCAGGUUUAGGUGUAAUUUCUCACACAAUAUACCAGUCAGUUUGGUACAUACAAAAGAGUGGACAGGAAAAGAGCUCAGUUUGUUCAUAUGGGUAAUGCAGACAAAAAAAUACAUUUGCAGUGUGUGUCUGUGUGUGUUUGUGUGUUUGUGUGUGUAUUUUAAAAGGAACCGUGUAAACUUAAAAGAGGGACAAAGACCAAAGAAGGAAGAGUGCAUGUAAAAAAGAGAAAGACAAAGUGGUGAGAGAGGGCGUAUAUCUUUAGCUGCCUAUAAAGCUCUGCAUGCUUCUCAUUUUAGGCAGAAGUGAAUCCUGGCUGUAAGAAAUGAUGACAAUACACUAAUAAAGCAUCUCAAACUCA